ensembl:lncRNA
GUUAGCACCGAUUCAACCGUCUCCUGCUCCGGUCAGUUACUACAAAAUGGCUGCAGAGGCUCCGCCGCCGAUGAGAACCUACUGAACGCUUCAUGCUGUGAAAAGAAGCAAAAAAAAACACGAGAAGAGAACCAUUUGAUGGAAGAUAAGAAAAAGAAAAAGCAAGACGAGAAGAAAAAGAAAGAAGCUGCUCAAAAAAAGGCCACAGAACAGAUAACCAAAGCACACCUUCUUCAGCUCCCUUCUCCCUCUGCUGCCUCCUCCUCUGGGCCCAGGGUGGACCUCUGCUAGAGCAGACAGCAGCUAGUGUGGUGUUACUAUGGUGCUCAGGGUCUUCCAAGAAGUCUCCUGUGUACGGAUGCCUGGUUAUUCAGCCUCCGCGCUCGUCC